rnacentral:rRNA from 1 species
UACAGAGGGUGCAAGCGUUGUUCGGAAUUAUUGGGCGUAAAGAGCGCGUAGGCGGUCUGCUAAGUCUGGUGUGAAAGCCCUCGGCUUAACCGAGGAAGUGCAUUGGAUACUGGUAGGCUUGAGUAUGAGAGAGGAUUGUGGAAUUCCUGGUGUAGCGGUGAAAUGCGUAGAUAUCAGGAGGAACACCGGUGGCGAAGGCGGCAAUCUGGAUCAUAACUGACGCUGAGGCGCGAAAGCGUGGGUAGCAAACAGG